rnacentral:rRNA from 1 species
GGAUUAGGCAUGCAAGUCGAACGAGGAUAUAUCCUUCGGGAUAUAAGCCGAGUGGCGCAAGGGUGAGUAAUGCAUAGAUUACCUGCCUCCGGGAUAAGGACAACUUUGUGAAAACGGAGCUAAUACUUAAUAAUACAAAAGAGAAUAAUUUCUUUUGUCAAAGGGAGGGUAGUAAUAUCUUUCGCCUAGAGAGGGGUUUAUGUCCUAUCAGCUUGUUGGUGGGGUAAUAGCCUACCAAGGCAAAGACGGGUAGCCGGUUUAAGAGGAUGGUCGGCCACACUGGGACUGAGACACUGCCCAGACUUCUACGGAAGGCUGCAGUCGAGAAUCUUUCGCAAUGCCCGAAAGG